UACAGAGGUGGCAAGCGUUGUUCGGAAUUACUGGGCGUAAAGGGCGCGUAGGCGGUCUUGCAAGUCCCGUGUGAAAUCCCUCGGCUCAACUGAGGAACUGCACGGGAAACUGCUUGGCUUGAGUUCGGGAGAGGGAAGCGGAAUUCCGGGUGUAGCGGUGAAAUGCGUAGAUAUCCGGAGGAACACCGGUGGCGAAGGCGGCUUCCUGGACCGACACUGACACUGAGAGACGAAAGCUAGGGGAGCGAAUGGG
rnacentral:rRNA from 1 species